rnacentral:misc_RNA from 1 species
UCCGGCUUGUCGCCGGCGGUCCCUCUAGAGUGCCCAACUGAAUGAUGGCAACUAAAGGCGAGGGUUGCGCUCGUUGCGGGACUUAACCCAACAUCUCACGGCACGAGCUGACGACAGCCAUGCAGCACCUGAGCAGGAUGGUAUUGCUACCUCGUUGGGCUUUCACCCUUCUACUACCUGCAUGUCCAGCCUGGGUAAGGUUCUUCGCGUUGCGUCGAAUUAAACCACAUGCUCCGCCGCUUGUGCGGGCCCCCGUCAAUUUCUUUGAGUUUCAGCCUUGCGGCCGUACUCCCCAGGCGGGACACUUACUGCGUUAGCGACGGCACCGAGGGGGUCGCUCCCCCCGACGCCUAGUGUCCAUCGUUUACGGCGUGGACUAC